GUGAGUUCUAUAUACUUCCUCCUGUUGAAGCCUAUAAUUAUAGCUAUGCUAGAGUUGCAUACCGGGCAGAGACACACAUUGGUCAAAAGCAUAGUGAAUCAGCUGAAGCAUGUCAAUUUAAACGGCAAAGCUUAGAUCCAACUGAGAUUUGUGGUAAUAGUAGCUCCAUGUCACCUUCUCCUGAUGUAAACGAUUUCUCUGCUAGGAAAGAUGGGCAUACACAGGCAAGGGGUGCAAGCAGUAUCAGUGAAGAAAAUGGUGUGCCUUGUGUCAAGUUUCCACAGUCAAUUGGUGAUCACCAUGGUUGU
rnacentral:misc_RNA from 1 species